CUGUUGAUGAUGAUUUCAAUACCGCCCCAGGCUGAAACCUGUGAAUGAUUGGACUAACUGAUAGCAG
rnacentral:snoRNA from 1 species